GAUGAAGAACGCAGUGAAAUGCGAUACGUAAUGUGAAUUGCAGAAUUCAGUGAAUCAUCGAAUCUUUGAACGCAUAUUGCGCUCUCUGGUAUUCCGGAGAGCAUGCUUGUUUGAGUAUCAGUAAACACCUCAACUCUUUUUUCUUUUUUGAAAUUGGAGCUGGACUUGAGUGAUCCCAACGCUUUCUUCCAAGAAAGUGGCGGGUUGCUUGAAAUGCAGGUGCAGCUGAACUUUUCUCUGAGCUAUAAGCAUAUCUAUUUAGUCUGCCUAAAAAACAGAUUAUUACCUUUGCUGCAGCUAACAUAAAGGAGACUAGUUCUUGUGCUGACUGAUGCAGGAUUCACAGAGACAGCUUCGGCUGACUUUGUAAACUCGAUCUCAAAUCAAGUAAGACUACCCGCUGAACUUAAGCAUAUCAAUAAGCGGAGGA
rnacentral:misc_RNA from 1 species